AAGAAAGUAAGAAAGGGCGCAUGGCGGAUGCCUUGGCUCACGGAGGCGAUGAAGGACGUGAUAAGCUGCGAUAAGCCUUGGGUAGGUGCAAAUAACCUUUGAUCCAAGGAUUUCCGAAUGGGACAACCCAGCAGGUUGAAGACCUGUUAUCACUCUGUCUCUUAUACACAUCUGACGCUGCCGA
rnacentral:rRNA from 1 species